CUGUGGAGGAGCAGGCUCCUGCUGGGGUGGCUCGGGAUCAGCCUGCUGUAGCGGGGGCUCAACCUGCGAUAGCGGAGGAGGUCCGGGUAACUCCCUUCUCUCCUCUCGCCUUUGUUGGGCAGCUACGAGAGCUUCCACCAUCUCAAAUAGUCUGUCUAAAUCCUCCCGAAGCGAAUUAUCUUAGGCCGCUCGGUUUAGUAGGGGCCUUCCUCUCCUCAUUUCUGUGUACCUGCAUUCACAAGGAAUUGUUGAGUAACGAUCUAUCGGUGAGUAUUUCUCUAAGGCACUAUUGUGUAAGGGAUGGGUCCGAGGAAAUGCGGCUCUGAUACCAACU
rnacentral:lncRNA from 1 species